UACGUAGGGCGCAAGCGUUUGUCCGGAAUUAUUGGGCGUAAAGAGCUCGUAGGCGGUCUGUCGCGUCUGCUGUGAAAACUCAGGGCUUAACCCUGAGCUUGCAGUGGGUACGGGCAGACUAGAGUGCGGUAGGGGAGACUGGAAUUCCUGGUGUAGCGGUGGAAUGCGCAGAUAUCAGGAGGAACACCGAUGGCGAAGGCAGAUCUCUGGGCCGUAACUGACGCUGGAGGAG
rnacentral:rRNA from 1 species